GGAACAUUUUGGACAUCCCCACAAUAAUCCCAGCAUGCAUCACAGUUCCCUCCCCUCUGCUCGGGGGAUAAUUGGGAAGUAACUCAAUUAUCUCCCCGAGCAGAGGCAAUCGCCAUUUUAAACACAAGUCACAAAAACACAUAAAAAUCCAUAACUACAUAACUGCCGAACAUAUUACAUUCGUAUUGCAUAUCCCCAGAUAGCCUGGAUCUGAGUGCACAUUAUUGGAGAAUAGCGCUCAGAUCCCAUUCGCACAGUUCAAUCACCAUGGAGUCAAAGUCUCUUUCAGUUCGUCGGUAUGCGAUUGACUCCAUGGGACGGCUAUCUGG